rnacentral:rRNA from 1 species
GUGGGGAAUAUUGGACAAUGGGCGAAAGCCUGAUCCAGCCAUGCCGCGUGUGUGAAGAAGGUCUUCGGAUUGUAAAGCACUUUAAGUUGGGAGGAAGGGCAGUAAGUUAAUACCUUGCUGUUUUGACGUUACCGACAGAAUAAGUACCGGCUAACUUCGUGCCAGCAGCCGCGGUAAUACGAAGGGUGCAAGCGUUAAUCGGAAUUACUGGGCGUAAAGCGCGCGUAGGUGGUUUUGUAAGUUGGAGGUGAAAUCCCCGGGCUCAACCUGGGAACUGCCUCCAAAACUGCAUGACUAGAGUACGGUAGAGGGUAGUGGAAUUUCCUGUGUAGCGGUGAAAUGCGUAGAUAUAGGAAGGAACACCAGUGGCGAAGGCGACUACCUGGACUGAUACUGACACUGAGGUGCGAAAGCGUGGGGAGCAAACAGGAUUAGAUACCCCGGUAGUCC